AUUGAACGCUGGCGGCAUGCCUUACACAUGCAAGUCGAACGGUAACAGGUCUUCGGAUGCUGACGAGUGGCGAACGGGUGAGUAAUACAUCGGAACGUGCCUAGUAGUGGGGGAUAACUACUCGAAAGAGUGGCUAAUACCGCAUGAGAGCUGCGGAUGAAAGCAGGGGAUCGCAAGACCUUGUGCUACUAGAGCGGCCGAUGGCAGAUUAGGUAGUUGGUGGGAUAAAAGCUUACCAAGCCGACGAUCUGUAGCUGGUCUGAGAGGACGAUCAGCCACACUGGGACUGAGACACGGCCCAGACUCCUACGGGAGGCAGCAGUGGGGAAUUUUGGACAAUGGGCGCAAGCCUGAUCCAGCAAUGCCGCGUGCAGGAUGAAGGCCUUCGGGUUGUAAACUGCUUUUGUACGGAACGAAAAGCCCUGGGUUAAUACCCUGGGGUCAUGACGGUACCGUAAGAAUAAGCACCGGCUAACUACGUGCCAGCCGCCGCAGUAAGAC
rnacentral:rRNA from 1 species